GACGAACGCUGGCGGCGUGCUUAACACAUGCAAGUCGAACGGUGAAGCGCCUUCCUUUUUGGUGGGUGUGGAUGAGUGGCGAACGGGUGAGUAACACGUGAGUAACCUGCCCCCUUCUUCUGGAUAACCGCAUGAAAGUGUGGCUAAUACGGGAUAUUCUGGGUCUGUCGCAUGAUGGGUCUGGGAAAGAUAUUGUUUCGGUGGGGGAUGGGCUCGCGGCCUAUCAGCUUGUUGGUGGGGUGAUGGCCUACCAAGGCGGUGACGGGUAGCCGGCCUGAGAGGGUGGACGGUCACACUGGGACUGAGCCACGGCCCCGACUCCUACGGGAGGCAGCAGUGGGGAAUAUUGCACAAUGGGCGCAAGCCUGAUGCAGCGACGCCGCGUGAGGGAUGGAGGCCUUCGGGUUGUGAACCUCUUUCGCCAGUGAAGCAGGCCUGCCUCGUUUGUGGGUGGGUUGACGGUAGCUGGAUAAGAAGCGCCGGCUAACUACGUG
rnacentral:rRNA from 1 species